UCUGGUGAUUUUAGCAUUGAGGUUAUACCCGUUCCCAUCCCGAACACGGAAGUCAAGCUCAAUCGCGCCGAUGGUACUGCCAAGGUGGGAGAGUAGGUCGUCGCCAGUU
rnacentral:rRNA from 2 species